rnacentral:rRNA from 1 species
AUGUAUUCAUUUAACGUUGAUGAUGGUGAUGGCAGCUUGCAGUUGUCUGUUACUCAGUCUCAAAGUGUUGAUGGCACUAAGCCUGUUACCCAAGCUGAGGAUGUUCCUAUGCAGUUACAACUCGAGGAUGAAAGGAUAAGAAAGAAGAAGUAUGAUUUCCAGAAGAGGAAGGAAUUGGAACGACAUCAAAAGGCUGCCUGUGUGCCAGAAAGUGAUGUUGAUGUUGCUCAAGCUCCUAAAUGUAUAAACUUGAUGCAAACUCGGUUGACGCAAGUGUUUGAUCGUGAUGGAGUUAAGGAGAAGAAAGCUAUUUUGAAGAGGAAGAUGUCAGAUCGAAAUCCUGACGGCACACAGAGGCGUAGCCCACGUGUGAAAGCUGGUCCCCAACCUGGUAGUAGCAAAGCUGAUGCGGAUAGUGUUUCUGUGAAAAUUGGUCCAAGCAAACUUGGUGGCUCCGCUGUUCGUCGUAGUCCACGAGGUUUGACAAAUAAGAAGCCUUCUUCGUCUCCUCUUCAAGAGUGGUCUUUGUUGAAAGAAAAUAAGAAGCGUAAAGUUCAUCCUGCAAAGGUGAACAAAGGUGUGAAGAAGCGUGCUCGUGUUGAAGCUGAAGAUGCUGCAUCUGAAGAAGAUGAUAUUGAAGUUGAUUCAGAAGAUGAAUUUGCAGUGAUGAGCAUUAUGAGUCCGGUCAAGCCGGUGGGAGGCAAUGCCGGAAAAGUUGCCUUGGAUGAAGAUACAAUGACUCUUGACAUGGGUGAGGCUAAUAAGAAGCUUCGCAUCACUAGCGAUGGUAUACAACAAUUAUUUGGUUUCCCUCGUGGUGGUCGUUCUGCGCCAAGGCCGUCAGAGGAUGGAUAUGACAACGCUCUGAUGAAGUUAAGAUCGGAGCUUGACAUUAGCAGGAACAAAGAUAUCAAGACAAAGGAUUUGAGGAAUAAGCUCAAGGUGCUCGUCAAGGAUCCUAGCAAAGAUGACCUUGCUCUGAAAGUGUUCUUCAUUAUUGUGUUUAUGAAGGUUGUGUUGCCUGGUUCUGCUCCACAUGUUUCUAGAGAGGCAGGAAUGUUUGAGGGUCUCGUCUUUGAGGACAUGGCUAAUAUGGAUUACUGCCAGCUGAUGGUUGAUGAGCUUAGAAGGGCUGUUGCCAAGUACCAAAAUGGUGAUACCAUGGGGAAGGCAAUCACAGUCUGUGCCAUAGGGCCUGUACUAAUGUACCUUGACUGCCUUAUCCGUGGCAAGAUUGCAGAGCCUGACAUGCGAGUCCCCCGCAUAUGUUUCAUGGAUCCUGCCAAGCUUUCUGAUCUGGUUGAUGCAGAUUUGAUAAAAAAGGCAAUGCAGAUCCAAAGACUUGGGUGUUUGGGAAGCUUCCGGUAUGGUUUUUUAGUACUGUUGUUUCUUGUGUGGUUGAACUGA